rnacentral:rRNA from 1 species
AGUCGACGGACCUAGUCGGUGGUAACCCGGCGAAAGUUAGUGGCGAACGGGUGCGUAACACGUGAGCAACCUGCCCUAGAGACUGGGAUAACACCGGGAAACCGGUGCUAAUACCGGAUACCCCCAUACCAUCGCAUGGUGGAAUGAGGAAAUGUUUUUCGCUCUUGGAGGGGCUCGCGGCCUAUCAGCUUGUUGGUGAGGUAAUGGCUCACCAAGGCUUCGACGGGUAGCUGGUCUGAGAGGACGACCAGCCACACUGGGACUGAGACACGGCCCAGACUCCUACGGGAGGCAGCAGUGGGGAAUAUUGCGCAAUGGGCGAAAGCCUGACGCAGCAACGCCGCGUGGAGGAUGAAUGCUCUCGGGUUGUAAACUCCUUUCAGCAGGGAAGAAAUUGACGGUACCUGCAGAAGAAGCACCGGCCAACUACGUGCCAGCAGCCGCGGUAAUACGUAGGGUGCAAGCGUUGUCCGGACUCAUUGGGCGUAAAGAGCUCGUAGGCGGCUUGGCAAGUCGGAUGUGAAACCCCCAGGCUCAACCUGGGGAUGCCAUCUGAUACUGCUAUGGCUAGAGUAUGGUAGGGGACUACGGAAUUCCUGGUGCAGCGGUGAAAUGCGCAGAUAUCAGGAGGAACACCGGUGGCGAAGGCGGUAGUCUGGGCCAUUACUGACGCUGAGGAGCGAAAGCGUGGGGAGCGAACAGGAUUAGAUACCCUGGUAGA